UAAACUAGACUAAGUGUAACAAAUUAAUAAUGGUGCACACGAAAUCGUUAUUCUGUCAAAAGUGUAUAAUAUUAAUCUGGAUAUUGCUGCUUAGUAUCAAAUUAAAUAUAAUACAUUGUUCGAAGACAUGCUCGUUUUCAAAAGAUGGAACAUAUCAUUUAUAUUUCUGCAAGAAAGGAUCCUGCUGUCAAGUAAAAGGGAAUGUUUACUGCGUUACCCGAUAUAAACACUGCUAUAAUAUGAUGUUAUUACAUGUUCCGCGGAAAGUACCGAAACCUACCGAUGCAUCCAGUGUUACACGUCAUACCAGAACAUCUUUCUUGUCGAAAUUACAAAUUACUGCAGAACCAUUGAGGUCUACCGCUACUGAACCAAAUACAUUGGUUAAAAAUGACGUGAAAACGGUUACAAACAAAACAUCAACUACACUAGUUCCGUUAUUUUCCACUGUCGAGAAAACAUAUUCUCCGAGUUUGGAGGUUAAUGGUAGUAAUGGUCUUCUAGAUUGGCAGCUACUUGUAAAGAUAUCAGCCCCUAUACCAGUUACAUUUGUGUGCAUUGCUGUAUGUUUGGGAGCUUUACGCUAUAAAAAGCUGAUUAAUGCAAGGAAAUACAGAUCUGUUAACAGGUUGAGAACCAAUAAUCGGGACAACAUUAAUGUAUAGCAGCAGUAAAGAAAUCUU